rnacentral:lncRNA from 1 species
GGGUCGACUCAUGGUUAGAAAAAUUCAAAAAAGAUGAUGAAAAAAUUUUGAAAAAAAAAAUAAAAUUUGAGGGAAGAGUGUCUAUUUAAGAGAUUGAUCAUAUGAAGGAUAGUUUUGAGCUUUUAAGAAAGAAGAGAUGAGAAUUGAGCUCAAAAUUUGGUUCAAUAAAUUUUUGAUAAAAAAAACUUGAAAUUAGAAAGA